GUCUGUCUUUAUCUUCUUUUUAUUAAGCUCCCAUAGUUCAGGUAUGUAUGGUUUCCCCAGCCUGCAGAGGCUCAGAAACUGCCAAGGGGAGCAAGGUGCCCUGACCAGAGAGGGGUCACUCCCCAUAGAAGAGAGACUUGAAGGGCAGACUUCACGGACCCAGCUGGAUCUUGGGACAUUCCUGACAACCCAGGACUGCAUCCCAGGCAUAUCACCAAGCAGAUGCUGCAACCUUCACUCAUGCAUCCUCUAUGUGGCUUUUGUGUCUGUCUCUACCUCUGCUCUCAAUUACUUACGUGUGUCUGUGAGGAGUGUGGAGCUCUGCUGAUGGGCCUGUGCCUCACAGCCCCUUCCAUCUCUCCCGCCUAGUUCUCCCCUCUGCAGCUGGGCUCAGGAAGCGCUACUGCGGAGUGAACCGGUCCUUAUAUCUUAGUUUCGUGACUUUGGGGGCGGCAGGCCUGUGAGUUGUUUUCCGCCCUGGACGCUGUUUUGCAAAGAUCUCUGCGCGCCCACCGCCACCCUCCCGGGCGUGCGGGCCGGGAAGCAGCCAGCGGUGGGAAACUCCGACGCCCUCCUCGACACUUUUCUCCCCCCAACUCCCCAAGACAGCCCUGGGAAAGACUGGCCAGGCUGAGAGAGGGACCCGUCCUCCUCUGUGCCAAAGGCGGGAGCAAAUCCUGGUGCUGUCGCCUUUGGAUGAAACUUUUCGCGCAGAAACUCCUGGAGAACAGCCCCGGCCGCCAGGUACUCGCCCGCCCGGACCGCAAAGCCCACAGAGCUUCAAUUCGCAGGAAGGGGAGUGGGGAGCCCUGAGCUGGGGUGUUCCUGGAAGAGGUCGGGGAGCGGGGGGAGAGGCAUUCCAGGCUGGAGGCCUGGAAACGUUUGGAAGCUUUGCUAACCUUGGAGACCAUGUCAGGAAAGAAGCGUACCCAGGCCGUCUGCUGUGUGCCCACCCCGAUCCCCAUCAGUGCCCCACGCACUCGAGCUCUUCUUCGGCGUCUGCAGCCUCUUCAUCCGCGCGGAGAGGCGGAGGUCUCCCGGAAACAGUGUCCGACUGUGGCACCCCAGAGCGUCCAAUGCGAGCUCAGGCCUUUCCCGCAAGUCUGGAGUUUUCUUAUCCAGUUGAGGCCGCCUUCGCUGUACUCACUCUCUGCCUCCCACCCCAUCUUCUGCCACCCGACCUCCAUCUUUGAUGGUUAGCGCCUUCAGCCCUCAACAGCUUCGCACAACCAACCCCUAGAAGCCGUGGAGUCAGACCGGCCAGGGUGGGACCUAGGUUUUAACUCGGGUUCUGGCUACACACGCUGCGCCUCCAUACAGUUUGUCCCAGGUUUGGCAGCAGGCCGGCUACCUUCAGGAAUUCUUUGCUUUGGCUUCUGUCUGUUCCUGUCUGUUGGGCAAGUUUCUAGCUACCCCACUGAGAGAACCAUAGAACAAGGACCCUGGCAUGGCAUACAGACAAGGAAUGUUUGCUGAAUUAAUGGAGCUGGUGCCUUGCAGCUUCCCUUUUGUUCCUUGAAGUUGCCCUUGCUCUCCUCCACAUCAGCUCCCUCUCCUCCUCAGCUACUUAUUCCCCACCCUGGCUUCUUCUAGUCGCAGUCCCCAAGUACUUGCUGAAUCCUGUAUGGACAGCCUAAGCCUCCAUUUCUGACAAUUCCUGUGGCCCCACUCCAUUUGUUUUUUAGACUUCUCCCUCCUUUUUGUCCCCAUCCCCCAAGUUAUAAAACUAUAAUGCAAUUCUUUGGAUUUUUCUUUAAAAAAUCACACUU
rnacentral:lncRNA from 1 species